UACAGAGGGGGCAAGCGUUGUUCGGAAUUACUGGGCGUAAAGGGCGCGUAGGCGGCCUUCUAAGUCGAACGUGAAAUCCCUGGGCUCAACCCAGGAACUGCGUCCGAUACUGGAAGGCUUGAAUCCGGGAGAGGGAUGCGGAAUUCCAGGUGUAGCGGUGAAAUGCGUAGAUAUCGGGAGGAACACCAGUGGCGAAGGCGACUACCUGGCCUGUUCUUGACGCUGAGGCGCGAAAGCUAGGGGAGCAAACGGG
rnacentral:rRNA from 1 species